rnacentral:rRNA from 1 species
AUUGAACGCUGGCGGCAGGCCUAACACAUGCAAGUCGAACGGUAACAGGAAACAGCUUGCUGUUUCGCUGACGAGUGGCGGACGGGUGAGUAAUGUCUGGGAAACUGCCUGAUGGAGGGGGAUAACUACUGGAAACGGUAGCUAAUACCGCAUAACGUCGCAAGACCAAAGAGGGGGACCUUCGGGCCUCUUGCCAUCGGAUGUGCCCAGAUGGGAUUAGCUAGUAGGUGGGGUAACGGCUCACCUAGGCGACGAUCCCUAGCUGGUCUGAGAGGAUGACCAGCCACACUAGAACUGAGACACGGUCCAGACUCCUACGGGAGGCAGCAGUGGGGAAUAUUGCACAGUGGGCGCAAGCCUGAUGCAGCCAUGCCGCGUGUAUGAAGAAGGCCUUCGGGUUGUAAAGUACUUUCAGCGGGGAGGAAGGGAGUAAAGUUAAUACCUUUACUCAUUGACGUUACCCGCAGAAGAAGCACCGGCUAACUCCGUG